GAGACUAUAAGGUUCCACCAUUCUUGAUUGAAAAUAGGGAAUAGUUUCGUUCAGGAUUUGAAAUUUUCCUAAGUUCUCUGUUUGGUGACAUGUAUAAACAGAGGUAGACUAUAAGGUUCCACCAUUCUUGAUUGAAAAUAGAUAUUAUAUUUAUCGAAUUGAAUAUGUGAUUGGAUGUAAUCAUUGGAUAUUCUAAACCUUUCUAAUCAAUGGUAAUCACUCCUACUAUAAGAACUGAUUCCAAACCCCUGAUGAAGUCCUAACGGACGAAACGCGUUGGGUUUUGCAACGUCUGGUUAACAAAGUCCUUAUCAGAUGUUGGAGAUACAUCCAUUUCGAGUUCUGACUGUGAUCACCUGGCUGUAAAAUCCUCACAUCCAACUGUAAUUUAUGUAUAAGAUUGUAAUAUUGUUUUAUAUGAAUUUUUAGAAGGUUGUGUCAAUAACGAACGCUUAGGAUAAAUAUCGUUUGUUUCUGUACAAUAAAAACUUUUAAUUAUUGUCAUACAAAAGGCA